rnacentral:rRNA from 1 species
UACGAAGGGGGCUAGCGUUGCUCGGAAUCACUGGGCGUAAAGGGUGCGUAGGCGGGUCUUUAAGUCAGGGGUGAAAUCCUGGAGCUCAACUCCAGAACUGCCUUUGAUACUGAGGAUCUUGAGUACGGGAGAGGUGAGUGGAACUGCGAGUGUAGAGGUGAAAUUCGUAGAGAUUGGGUGGAACACCAGUGGCGAAGGCGCCUGUCUGGCUGAUAACUGACGCUGAGACUCGAAAGCAUGGGGAGCAAACAGG